rnacentral:rRNA from 1 species
CCUACGGGUGGCAGCAGUGGGGAAUAUUGCGCAAUGGACGAAAGCCUGACGCAGCGACGCCGCGUGAGGGAUGAAGGUCUUCGGAUCGUAAACCUCUGUCAGCAGGGAAGAACGGUCACUGUGCUAAUCAGCAGUGAAUUGACGGUACCUGCAAAAGGAGCACCGGCUAACUCCGUGCCAGCAGCCGCGGUAAUACGGAGGGUGCGGGCGUUAAUCGGAAUUACUGGGCGUAAAGCGCUCGUAGGCGGUAUGUCAAGUCAAGGGUGAAAUCCCCGCGCUCAACGUGGGAACUGCCUUUGAAACUGGCAAACUGGAGUGUGUGAGAGGAUAGUGGAAUUCCAGGUGUAGGAGUGAAAGCCGUAGAUAUCUGGAGGAACAUCAGUGGCGAAGGCGACUAUCUGGCACAUAACUGACGCUGAGGAGCGAAAGCGUGGGUAGCAAACAGGAUUAGAUACCCUUGUAGUC